AACGUAGGACGCGAGCGUUAUCCGGAGUUACUGGGCGUAAAGGGUGGGCAGGCGGCCGUGUCAGUUGGGUGUGAAAUCUCCCGGCUCAACCGGGAGGGGCCACUCGUGACUGCACGGCUGGAGGGCAGCAGAGGCGCGUGGAAUUCCGGGUGGAGUGGUGAAAUGCGUAGAGAUCCGGAGGAACACCAGAGGCGAAGGCGGCGCGCUGGGCUGCACCUGACGCUGAACCACGAAAGCCAGGGUAGCGAACGGG
rnacentral:rRNA from 1 species